CCUACGGGAGGCAGCAGUGAGGAAUAUUGGUCAAUGGACGAGAGUCUGAACCAGCCAAGUAGCGUGAAGGAUGACUGCCCUAUGGGUUGUAAACUUCUUUUAUAUAGGAAUAAAAUGUUCCACGUGUGAGUUUUUGUCUGUACACUAUGAAUAAGGAUCGGCUAACUCCGUGCCAGCAGCCGCGGUAAUACGGAGGAUCCGAGCGUUAUCCGGAUUUAUUGGGUUUAAAGGGAGCGUAGAUGGGUUGUUAAGUCAGUUGUGAAAGUGUGCGGCUCAACCGUAAAAUUGCAGUUGAAACUGGCAGUCUUGAGUACAGUAGAGGUGGGCGGAAUUCGUGGUGUAGCGGUGAAAUGCUUAGAUAUCACGAAGAACUCCGAUUGCGAAGGCAGCUCACUGGACUGCAACUGACAUUGAUGCUCGAAAGUGUGGGUAUCAAACAGGAUUAGAUACCCGGGUAGUC
rnacentral:rRNA from 1 species